AUUGAACGCUGGCGGCAUGCUUUACACAUGCAAGUCGAACGAUAACAGGGAGCUUGCUCCGCUGACGAGUGGCGAACGGGUGAGUAAUGCGUCGGAACGUGCCGAGUAGUGGGGGAUAACGCACCGAAAGGUGUGCUAAUACCGCAUACGUACUGAGGUAGAAAGUGGGGGACCUUCGGGCCUCACGCUAUUCGAGCGGCCGACGUCUGAUUAGCUAGUUGGUGAGGUAAAGGCUCACCAAGGCGACGAUCAGUAGCGGGUCUGAGAGGAUGAUCCGCCACACUGGGACUGAGACACGGCCCAGACUCCUACGGGAGGCAGCAGUGGGGAAUUUUGGACAAUGGGCGCAAGCCUGAUCCAGCCAUGCCGCGUGUCUGAAGAAGGCCUUCGGGUUGUAAAGGACUUUUGUCCGGGAGCAAAUGCUGGUGGCUAACAUCCACCGGAGCUGAGAGUACCGGAAGAAUAAGCACCGGCUAACUACGUGCCAGCAGCCGCCGUAAGAC
rnacentral:rRNA from 1 species